rnacentral:rRNA from 1 species
UGGGGGAUAUUGCACAAUGGGCGAAAGCCUGAUGCAGCGACGCCGCGUGGGGGAUGAAGGCCUUCGGGUUGUAAACUUCUUUUGCUCUGAACAAGGCAUGCUAAUGGGUGUGUUGAGUGUAGGGGUUGAUUAGCGUCGGCUAACUACGUGCCAGCAGCCGCGGUAAUACGUAGGGCGCGAGCGUUGUCCGGAAUUAUUGGGCGUAAAGGGCUUGUAGGUGGCUGGUUGCGUCUGUCGUGAAAGCUCAUGGCUUAACUGUGGGUUUGCGGUGGGUACGGGCUGGCUUGAGUGCAGUAGGGGAGGCUGGAAUUCCUGGUGUAGCGGUGGAAUGCGCAUAUAUCAGGAGGAAUACCGGUGGCGAAGGCGGGUCUCUGGGCUGUUACUGACACUGAGGAGCGAAAGCAUGGGGAGCGAACAGG